rnacentral:rRNA from 1 species
UACAGAGGGUGCGAGCGUUGUCCGGAAUCACUGGGCGUAAAGGGCGCGUAGGUGGCGCCCCACGUCCGUGGUGAAAGCUCGAUGCUCAACAUCGAGUCGGCCACGGAAGCUGGGGGGCUCGAGCACUGUAGAGGCAGGUGGAAUUCCGGGUGUAGCGGUGGAAUGCGUAGAGAUCCGGAAGAACACCGGUGGCGAAGGCGGCCUGCUGGGCAGUGGCUGACGCUGAGGCGCGACAGCGUGGGGAGCAAACAGG